rnacentral:rRNA from 1 species
UAAACUGGGGGUUUAUACCGGAUAGGACCACGGGAUGCAUGUCUUGUAGGUGGAAAGCGCUUUAGCGGUGUGGGAUGAGCCCGCGGCCUAUCAGCUUGUUGGUGGGGUGACGGCCUACCAAGGCGACGACGGGUAGCCGGCCUGAGAGGGUGUCCGGCCACACUGGGACUGAGAUACGGCCCAGACUCCUACGGGAGGCAGCAGUGGGGAAUAUUGCACAAUGGGCGCAAGCCUGAUGCAGCGACGCCGCGUGGGGGAUGACGGCCUUCGGGUUGUAAACCUCUUUCACCAUCGACGAAGGUCCGGGUUCUCUCGGAUUGACGGUAGGUGGAGAAGAAGCACCGGCCAACUACGUGCCAGCAGCCGCGGUAAUACGUAGGGUGCGAGCGUUGUCCGGAAUUACUGGGCGUAAAGAGCUCGUAGGUGGUUUGUCGCGUUGUUCGUGAAAUCUCACGGCUUAACUGUGAGCGUGCGGGCGAUACGGGCAGACUAGAGUACUGCAGGAAAAAAAGGGAAAAA